rnacentral:rRNA from 1 species
UACUAAGGGGGCUAGCGUUGCUCGGAAUUACUGGGCGUAAAGGGCGCGUAGGCGGAUAUUUAAGUUAGAGGUGAAAGCCCAGGGCUCAACCCUGGAACAGCCUUUAAUACUGGAUAUCUUGAGUUCGGGAGAGGUGAGUGGAACUCCGAGUGUAGAGGUGAAAUUCGUAGAUAUUCGGAAGAACACCAGUGGCGAAGGCGACUCACUGGCCCGAUACUGACGCUGAGGCGCGAAAGCGUGGGGAGCAAACAGG